UGCUGCCCUGGAGCGCCGCCACCCCGCUGCCCCCGCCAUCUUCCCGAGCGCGCCGCUGCCGCCGUCUUCCCCAAAGCGCCACCGCCCCGCCACCCCCGCCCACGGGACCAGUGGUCCCAUCGCCGGUCUCCCCCCACCCAGAUCUGCCGGAGGCGCACCGGAUCCUGCCUCACGGCCGGUUCCCGCGACCCCCACCUGGCCCCUUCCUCGAACCCAUUUUUUUCUCUUUGAAUGGCUUCUACCAAAGAGGCAUGUCAACACCCACCCAUGGAUGGAUGGGGAUGAGGCGACGGCGGCGGCGGCGGCCUUCUCUCGGUGCUUGCUGAUGUGGUGGACAUCGACGUCGGUGACGGGUUGCAGCACGUAGACAUCAAAGGUACCUUGCAGAGUUUAAGACUGGUGCGGAAAGGAAGGACAUCGCUCUUGCAGUUUUGGCUCCGACUCAUCCCAUCAGGCUUGAGCUUGCACUCCACUUUUCUGUGUUCUGCUAUGAGAUCUCGAACUCCCCUGACCAAUCCUGCAACCUUGCAAAACAGGUUUGCUGCAUCUCCUUUCUUCUCCAUUUGUUUCAGUUAUCAUGAUUGUCAGCCCAGUAAUUGAUUCCAGUUGGUGUAAGUAGUCGUGGUUAUCUCCGUAGACACCUGGGGCAGUGUACUACCUCUUCUCUGAUUUGCCAGCUAACAUGUUUGUGGAUAGGUUCUACUCCAACCCCCUUAGAAAAUGAAGCUACAUGAAAUCAAUCCACUUCUAGCACCUAUGCUUGUGCAGGGAAAGUAUAUAAUGCUUUGGUAGAACUCCCCCAAUUUUUUUCAAUUUGUCUUAACCAAGGAAGUUACUAUGCUAGGAUUUUGUUUAUUUUCUAUAGUAACUUCUGAAAUGGUCAAUCUUAAGGUACAUGAUAUAAGGAAAUCCAUACUACCAUUAUAUUUAUUUAUUUAUUGACUAAAUACUUUGUGGCAAAAGGUGAGUUGGUAGUCUCGCCCCAUUUUUUUAUACCCAGCAACAACUGAUUCCUCACAUCCAACCCACACGGCGGCCAUGACUGACCUUCGGCGAAGCACCACGAUGAAUGCCAGGUUCAAAGAGUAGUGAUGCCAUAUGUAAAUUGCACUAAUGGUAUGGGAACGAAUUAUAAGUUAUUUUUGAACACAUCAACCAUUGUUCUGGAUUGUCUUUGCAACCCCCUUAUAGUUUUGUUAUGACUUUUUCUUUACCUAUAAUUAGUAAUGAAUAUGUUGUCCUUCCACCCUUUAGGUGUUACUAUCUGGAGGUGACUAGCAAAUUCAUCAUAGUUGCACUUGGCAGGAGGUAUAGUAUGACCAUUAAUUAUGCUCAGCAAAGGAAAUAUCACCAAAGUGCGUAAAUCAUAAUUUUUCAGUUUUUAUUUGGCAAGCUGGAGUUACAAAGAAAAUUUCUUUUUUGGUGCACAUCUAUAUAUGAGUGGAUACAACUGGGUGACCCACUGUGAGGCAUGGUUCUUCAGUUAUCCCGAGGAUGUUCAAAAUCUGUCUUUUCAUUAUAUGCUCUAUUUAAAAUCUACCAUGUUCAUUAUAUUCUGUGUCUAAUCUGUUGUCUUCCCUAAAUAGUAUGAUUGAAAUAUUAGCAGCAAAUUUAUUCUCAGGAUUGUUAAUGACCGACGCAUGCUGUUUGUCAAACAGGCAAUAUUCCACUGCCUCGAGCACACACAAAUGGUUAAUGCGCUCAAGUGGCUGUUCGUCUCUGGGUAAGUUUAUAAAACCUAAAAGGAUCCACAUUUAUUCCUUUUUUACCAUCUCUUUGCAGUUUGACAUGAUCCAUUGAUUUAUCUUUUUUUUCUAAGCGAUGUGCUGCACAGUUCAUUGUUAGUCCGUAAUUCUGAAUGCUUUAGUACCUACCUCAGAGAGGUUCAUCAUGCACAUUCUUGACCCUGCACAAAUGCUUGUCCAGUUUGAAGGCCCAUCCUAUACUGCCUUCCAGCUUUAAACUCCAUCUGGAUAUAACUACACUCUUAGUUGAUUCAUAGUUAUGUGGAAUGGUUGCAGACUGAAGGUCUCACUUGUGAUGUUCUGGAAUUAUACGUAUGUAGAGCAUUGUGUUAUGGUUCUUCUGAGCGAGCAGUUACCCGAUGCAAUAUAUUUGCUGGUGUUUAAAUAUCGUCCUGCUGAGAAUACAAUAUGACUUCUUAUGGAUUUAGGUGAAACUUAUGUAUGUGACCGUAUUGUAGUAUACUGACAUAUUGUAGUACACAUCUUGCUCGGAUGAACUCUGGUCUGGCCAAGGGCGCGUUCUGGGGUGGAAAGGAUAGGCCUUUUGCCCCUUUGCCAGUCGGCGGCACGGUGGUUCGUGCCGAGGAUGGCGGGAUGGUUGCAGAUGCCCGGGCGGCGGCCCGGGUGGUGGGAGCUGCGGUGCUUGUGGGCAAAACCCAUGGAUCAGAUGGUGGCCGACGAUCAUGAUGCUUGUGGGCGAAGCCCGUGGGUCGGAUGGUGGCCGACGAUCAUGGUCGUGAGUGAUGCAUGGUGGCUGGCGAUCGGCGGUCCGAGGUGGUGGUACAACAGUGCCCGUACCGUGUUUCGGGCAUGGAUCAUGCGCGCUAGGGUGAAAACCUUGUAUGCCUUUGGGCAGGCCAUCGGUGACGGCGCCCGUGGGCAUCACCCCCUUGUUGAAGGCACCGUCACGGCUACUCCAUCCUCUCCGGAACACUCUGGGUGAAACCCCAUAUCACUUUGAUCGGGCGGUUACGGUGCUCCGGUGUCGUGCCCUUCCUAAAGGCACUGCUUUGGAGGCCUCGGCUCGUCGAUGUUCGAUUGUGUCCCCAUUUACCUCAAGUGGUGCUUGGUUGCUUAUCGUCGUUUGCUUGGUGGUAUCUAGGGUGUAGCUGAUCUUCAACUUCUCUCUAUCCAGCCUAUGGUGUGUAUGGUGUAUCAGUUCUUGCAUUAGAUUAGAUUGUCCAUCUUCUCAUUUUCAUUGCCAUGCUAUUAAAUUUGGAUCUGCCUGUUUUUUCGUUCCAAUUAAAAUCAACAUCUAUGAUAUUUAUAUGAUAACUGCUUUGUUCUCUAUGUUUGAUACACUCCACCUUAAUUUUCUUUUACUUAGAAAGACGGCUAGAGAUUAUAUUCUUCCCAUUAUGUGCAGUAUGGUACCUAACUAUUUUUAGCGGAAAAUACUCUAAAAAUAUCAUACCAUUCCAAUUUUGAUUUUUUUUUCAUAUUUGGCAUAAAUUUAAGUGGUCGCACCCUUCUCCGGACACUGCGCAAGCGAUACUACAUGUACCAGACUUUUUAUAUUUGGCACAAAUUUCUUUGGAGCAAAAUUUUCUGAACCUCCCAGCAUAUGGUUGCUUCUAUGUGGAAUAUGUGAUUGCCGGCGAUACACAAAGGUGCCCCUGAACACUGAUAAAAUUUAACGAGCUGCAUUGAGAAAUUUUGAUUGGUAAAGCUGUAAGUUUAGGUGGAAUAUGUGAUUGGGGGCGAUACGCUGAACGAUGUGGCGGCAGAUGGGCUAUGCUCUGGUAGUGAUUGCAGGGAUGUCGUAGGACGAAGUUUGCAACGAUGGUUGGAGUUAGUGCUGGGAAAGGGAAGUGGUGUUGGUUGGUUAUUGUCCGUCAUUUUGUGUAUUGUCUGUUAUUUUUGUUUGAGUAGCUGACAUCCUUCUCUCUAUUAUCUCUCUAUUGUUUCUGUCUAUGCUCAGGAAAGAAGAAAUGUCCGAAGAAGGACCAAUGCGGGUUAUUACAUGAUUUGGAUGUGCAAUGUUUUUGAAAAUAAAGGUUUCAAGCAUGGUUCACUUUUAACUGGCGAUAAUGCUCUCGAGUCAUAUCCUGAUUUCUGCGACUACUUCUCUUAUGGAUCUUAAGAGAACUCGAGGGAUAUCGUUUCGAACAAAAUCUCGCUAUCCUUGUUUAACUCAAUGGAAUCAGAUAAUUUAAUUGUGUUCCCUAACAAGUCCUUGUAGAUGUGCACCUUCCCCCUCUGACCAUCUCCUCAGGAUCUCUCUCUAAUCCUAGAGCCUGGCAAUAAGAAUGGUUGGUUUUAAGAACAACAUGUAUCUAUUUAUUCAUUAUUGAUUUAUUGUUUUCGGGGAAUUGUUUUGCCCCUAAUCAUAUCAUUGUUACUCUGCCUGCAUUAGAUUAUGAGUAUGACAAUGAUGAAUUUUAUGUAAAUGCUAAUGGUUGACUACCACAUUACAAUGCUAGGCCUGCCUGAGUUUUGAGGACCUUUCUACUUUCCAUUCCACAAGAAAAAUAACACACAAAUUUAUCGCACAGUAGAUACAGUAGCGCACAGUACAUACAGUAGAUACUGUUCCAACGAGUGCCUGUCCCUGGGCGUGGCGAAAUCCUGCCCACGGCAAUGCUUCCAUGUAUCACAUUUUGUAUUCUACUUUCUUUACCCGAAUGAUGCACAAUCCAAGCAGAUUUACCUUAAUUGUGUUUAAUUUGUUUACAUGGUCAGUUAACAUUGUAGAUUUAUGUAUUUAUUUAGUCUUGGCCAUGUAUAAUUUUGUGCACGAUGUUGGGAAUGGUACUUAUUGACAACUUCCAGCAACUUUGUUUAUUAUGUACAGUGCCAAUUACAUGGCAUGUUGAUUCUCAUAACACGAUUUUUGGUGCACUUCUCACCUAUACACCGAGAAUGAAAUUGGAGACAACAUCCAUGAGAAUUGCAUAAUCUAAUUUACGAAUUACUGAGAUAAUUGCUUGUGUCUUCACUCUUUACACUAUGCAUAGAAUGAUAAAUUAUAACAUUUCUUGGACAUUUGAAUCAUAAGUUGAUU